rnacentral:rRNA from 1 species
UGCGCAAGUCAUUGGGACAUAAAGCGAAACCUAAAGGCAAAAUGAAAGUGAAUAUACGUGAGCGUGUGUGUGUGCCACUCACGUAGUGAGCGCGCGCGCGCUCACAGAGGGAGGAUGGGCCGACCCAUAGUUGGCCGGCCCCGCACUCCCAGGGCGUCUCGAGUUCAAUGCGAACUGAGGCGCACCUAGAGCGUACACGCUGGGACCCGAAAGAUGGUGAACUAUGCCUGGUCAGGACGAAGUCAGGGGAAACCCUGAUGGAGGUCCGUAGCGAUUCUGACGUGCAAAUCGAUCGUCGGAACUGGGUAUAGGGGCGAAAGACUAAUCGAACCAUCUAGUAGCUCGUUC